rnacentral:rRNA from 1 species
UGGGGAAUUUUGGACAAUGGGCGCAAGCCUGAUCCAGCAAUGCCGCGUGCAGGAUGAAGGCCUUCGGGUUGUAAACUGCUUUUGUACGGAGCGAAACGGCUUCCCCUAAUACGGGGAGCUAAUGACGGUACCGUAAGAAUAAGCACCGGCUAACUACGUGCCAGCAGCCGCGGUAAUACGUAGGGUGCGAGCGUUAAUCGGAAUUACUGGGCGUAAAGCGUGCGCAGGCGGUUAUAUAAGACAGAUGUGAAAUCCCCGGGCUCAACCUGGGACCUGCAUUUGUGACUGUAUAGCUAGAGUACGGUAGAGGGGGAUGGAAUUCCGCGUGUAGCAGUGAAAUGCGUAGAUAUGCGGAGGAACACCGAUGGCGAAGGCAAUCCCCUGGACCUGUACUGACGCUCAUGCACGAAAGCGUGGGGAGCAAACAGGAUUAGAUACCCUGGUAGUCCACGCCCUAAACGAUGUCAACUGGUUGUUGGGUCUUCACUGACUCAGUAACGAAGCUAACGCGUGAAGUUGACCGCCUGGGGAGUACGGCCGCAAGGUUG